GCCCGCAACGCCGCGCACACGCUGCCGUACGUCCUGGGCUGCAUCGAGAGGCUCAGCUACCCCAAGAACCGCAUCGCGCUCUGGGCAGCCACUGACCACAACAUUGACAACACCACAGCAAUCCUCAGGGAGUGGCUGAAGAAUGUGCAGCACCUGUACCACGAUGUUGAAUGGAGGCCCAUGGAGGAACCCCCGUCUUACCCAGAAGAAAUUGGACCAAAACAUUGGCCAAGCUCCCGAUUCACUCAUGUGAUGAAGCUGCGACAGGCUGCCCUGCGCACUGCCCGGGAGAAGUGGUCAGACUAUAUCCUGUUUAUUGAUGCAGAUAACUUACUAACCAACCCCCAGACCCUGAACCUGCUGAUAGCAGAAAACAAGACACUGGUGGCACCGAUGCUCGAGUCCCGCUCCCUCUACUCCAACUUCUGGUGUGGCAUCACUCCCCAGGGUUAUUAUAAGAGGACCUUGGAGUAUCCCCUGAUUCGGGAAUGGAAGAGGAUGGGCUGUUUUGCUGUCCCUAUGAUCCAUUCCACGUUCCUCAUUGACCUAAGGAAGGUGGCCUCCGCCAAGCUGACAUUCUACCCCCCACACCAGGACUACACCUGGAGUUUUGAUGAUAUCAUGGUCUUUGCCUUCUCCAGUCGCCAAGCAGGAGUACAGAUGUUCAUCUGCAACCGUGACCACUAUGGGUUCCUUCCCAUGCCCCUGAAGCCGCAGCAAUCGCUGCAGGAGGAAGCUGAGAAUUUUGUGCACACCCUGAUUGAGGCCAUGAUCGAUCGCCCUCCCGUGGAGCCCUCUCAGUACAUCUCUGUCCCUCCGAAGCACCCUGACAAGAUGGGGUUUGAUGAAAUUUUCAUGAUCAACCUGAAGCGUCGCAAGGACCGGCGGGAUCGGAUGCUGCGGACACUCUAUGAGCAGGAGAUUGCAGUGAAGGUAGUGGAGGCUGUGGAUGGAAAAACACUGAACACGAGUCAGCUCAAAGCUCUCAGCAUUGAAAUGCUGCCAGGAUACCGGGACCCAUAUUCCUCCAGGCCCCUAACCAGAGGAGAGAUCGGCUGCUUCCUGAGCCAUUACUACAUCUGGAAGGAGGUGGUGAGCAGGGGCCUGGAGAAGACACUUGUUAUUGAGGACGAUGUGCGCUUUGAGCACCAGUUCAAGAGGAAGCUCAUGAAGCUGAUGGAUGACAUCAAGCAAGCCCAGUUAGACUGGGAGCUGAUCUACAUUGGCCGGAAAAGGAUGCAGGUGCAGGAGCCUGAGAGAGCCAUUCCCAAUGUCCGAAACCUGGUGGAAGCUGAUUACUCCUACUGGACCCUGGGCUACGCCAUCUCCUUCCAUGGGGCUCAGAAGCUCAUCGGGGCUGAGCCCUUCAGCAAGAUGCUGCCCGUGGAUGAAUUCCUGCCCAUCAUGUACAACAAGCACCCUGUCACAAAGUACAUGGAGUACUACGAGUCCAGAGACUUGAAGGCCUUUUCAGCAGAACCCCUUCUUGUUUACCCCACACACUACACUGGGCAGCCGGGCUACCUCAGUGACACAGAGACCUCCACCGUCUGGGACAAUGAGACCGUGUCAACAGACUGGGACAGAACACACUCCUGGAAGUCCCGGCAACAGGGCAAGAUCCACAGUGACGCCCAGAACAAAGACGCCCUGCCCUCGCAGUCAUCCCUUGACACGCCGUCAUCCAGGGAUGAGCUAUGACUGCCCACCUCCCUGGGACUCUGUUGACAGCUGAACCUGCCUCACACUUUAGCUUUUCACCCUUGAAAGUUGUAGAGCAGCUCUUCAUGUGGUCUCCUUCCCACCACUCCCAAGGGCCGUGCACGGGAUUGGACCAGACACCUGCCCAGGCCUCCAAGGACAGGGUGGGACACCAAGGAGGAAGAACAAGCGUUCCAGAUCCAAACAAAAGCCCCGGCAAGCUUUUGUUAGAAGAAACCAGCCUAGAAUUAUGUUGUUCCACAAUUCCUUGUGUAGAAGAACACUGUAUUUAUAAAGAUUAAUAUAUAGAGGUGUACAAAUGUCAAUGCCUUUUGGGAUGGCUGUACCUGGGCUGCUCCCUCACUGUUCCUCCUUGUAGAUCUGUAGGCUUUUACCACCCUGUUUGCUGAGCAUCUGGGAGAUUCGGGUUUGUAUUCUAAAGGGAUCCCUAUCAGAAACAGGAUGUUUCCCCAAAAUGUUCAAUGCAGAGAGCAGUGCUCCUGUUGUGUCUUCUCCCCAUCACACUCCUGUACAAAACCAGUGCUGGCUUCCCAUCAGCUCAUUUUUAAUCUUGCUGCAUCCCAUCUAAACAGGCCUCUGGAUCCAGAAUGGAUGUCUUGGAAUGUCUGAAGUCAUGGAAGCCAUGCAAGUGGUGGUGGCUGGAUUUAUUUGUCUCUGCACUGCCUGAAGGGAACGCAGGCAGAGUUGGUCCAUGUCACAUCCUGCUUCACCCCUGCCUCAACUUAGUCCUUCAGGAAAACAAAACCCCCAUGACCUAUUGGUAGACCUGUUUAUUUAGGUCAUAAAAGCAAGUGUAGGAGUUUUGAGAACUUAAAAUGUAAAAAGUUGGGCUACAAACUCUCCUUAUAAAACCAAAAGAACCUACAACGUUAGUCUCUCUACAGCCCGAUAGAAUUGUGUGUUACAGGACGCAAAGGCGACUUGCCUGGAUAAUUUCUCAUGUGAGGAGCAAACUUUUCUGUGUUUUGGAUGAGUUCUGAUGUUUUUGCUGUUGGCUCACAUGCCAGCAGGAUAUGGUGUUUAUUUUUUUAAAAAAACCUUUCUCAGAGGCCAGGUGACAACAGACUAUACUGGCACAGACCCUGAACUUCUGGACAGUGGGAGGAUUCCCUCCUGGAAUUGCCAUCUGGGGACUCACCUGUUGGCAGAUCUGUGCAUUGAGUCUCUCACUUCAUGAGCCCACAUGGCCUGCGUGAAGGACACUGGAAGUCCCAGAGGUGUUGGUGAGAAGCUCCUGCAGGAGCAGGGCUCUGUGACCAGUAAGAGCAGCCCAGGAGGUGGCAGCAGAUCCAAGGAACAGCAUGAGGCUGUAGGCAGCCAGCCAGGAACUGGGACCGGCUGGGAAUGAGCAAGGGGGUGUCACAAGCACUCCUCGUCCAGGACAUUACUUAUCUCUGACCAACAAAGAUCAGGCCAGAAAGGAGAAGAACUGACAGCAUUUAUUUCUCAGUCUUCUGUACCUGGUUUGCUAUCUGCAGCCUUUUACCUACAAAGAGUUUCCUGCAGGAGAAGGAAGAUAUUUACUUAACUGUGUGUUCUGGAAAGCAAAGGUCUUCUGCCACCAGGUUUGGUUCAGCUCCUAAAGACAAAUGCUCAGAGGCUAUCAAUAAACCAAAAAUCACAGAACAUUCAACUCACCCUUCGUCUCUUCUCAAAGUUGAUCAGGCCACCCUGUUGAAAGAUAUUUUAAGAGCUGCAGAAGAAGAUACAGAAACAAGUCAUCUGAGUUGGGAAGGCUGAGAAGGUAUUUAGCAUUCCAAAAAAUUGCC